rnacentral:rRNA from 1 species
CCUACGGGUGGCAGCAGUGGGGGAUAUUGCACAAUGGGGGGAACCCUGAUGCAGCGACGCCGCGUGGGUGAAAGAGUGCUUCGGCAUGUAAAGCCCUAUCGGCAGGGAAGAAGCAAGACGGUACCUGACUAAGAAGCCCCGGCUAACUACGUGCCAGCAGCCGCGGUAAUACGUUGGGGGCGAGCGUUACCAGGAUUAACGGGGUGUAAAGGGAGCUUAGACGGCCGUGCAAGCCAGGGGUGAAAGCCCGGGGCCCAACCCGGGGACUGCCCUUGGAAGUGCGUGGCUGGAGUGCGGGAGGGGCAGGCGGAAUUCCUGGUGUAGCGGUGAAAUGCGUAGAUAUCAGGAGGAACACCGGUGGCGAAGGCGGCCUGCUGGACUGCGACUGACGUUGAGGCACGAAGGCGUGGGGAGCGAACAGGAUUAGAUACCCGAGUAGUC